rnacentral:rRNA from 1 species
CCUACGGGCGGCAGCAGUGGGGGAUAUUGCACAAUGGGGGAAACCCUGAUGCAGCAACGCCGCGUGAGUGAAGAAGUAUUUCUGUAUGUAAAGCUCUAUCAGCAGGGAAGAGAAUGACGGUACCUGACUACGACGCCCCGGCUAACUACGUGCCAGCAGCCGCGGUACUACGUAGGGGGCGAGCGUUAUCCGGAUUUACUGGGUGUAAAGGGAGCGUAGACGGCUGGUCAAGUCGGAAGUGAAAGCCCGGGGCUUAACCCCGGAACGGCUUUGGAAACUGAGCAGCUAGAGUGCUGGAGAGGUAAGCGGAAUUCCUAGUGUAGCGGUGAAAUGCGUAGAUAUUAGGAGGAACACCAGUGGCGAAGGCGGCUUACUGGACAGUAACUGACGUUGAGGCUCGAAAGCGUGGGGAGCAAACAGGAUUAGAUACCCGUGUAGUC